AUCCAGCUGAUGAGUCCCGAAUAGGACGAAGUGCGCGUUCUGUAU
rnacentral:hammerhead_ribozyme from 1 species